UGGGAAUCAAGAGCCAAAAUAGGCUACAUGAAACAAAGUUUCUCUCUGCAAAAUGAUUAAGUUUCAUGUAAUUUAGAACCCAUACUCGUCCAAUCAAAUUUACAAUUUCAGGCACUUCCAAACUAUCAAGGAAUCAUAUUUAACUUCUAUUUCAAUGUGUUAGCGUGCCUAUAUCAUGCCUAAUUCUUCCCUUUUAGCCAAAGACUACAAACAAUUCAAUAAAAUAAAAGUAUGUACCUUUUCUUGUUUCUAUACAUUAAUAAAGAAAGAAUAAGACAUAUUACAAAGAUGAGGAGAUGAAAGGAGAAUGAGGCUCACCAUCUUGCAAGUUAACUCGUUGUUCCAUUGUUUGCAAGCACAACCUCAAUCAUUGUUCCAGUUCACCCAUUUUGUAUCUCGUUGCACAAGAGUCAAUUGACCAGACAAAGAUGUUGCUCCUAUUUGCAACGUCUGGCCAUCAUGUUCUCCAUUCCUCAACCAAAACACACGCUUUGCCGGAAAAUGGUAGACACUCGUUGGAAAAGUCGGGCCUCGUUGGAGCUUCUCGAUUCGUUAUCUCAAUUUCAUUUUUCAAAAACAGGGACUCGUUAUCUCAAUUUCAUUUUUCAAAAAACAGGGACAAGGGAGGAGUUCAUGACGAGAUGGGAAUUAUGGUGAUGAUAGUUUGGUGAUUUGGGUUUGCCGGCCAACGCGGCUUCGACUCCUUGUCGGCCUUCUCUGUGUUGUAUGAGGAAGGGAAGUGAAGGAUCAAUUGAGAGAGUUCUGGAGAGUUCCCCAAAUGAGUGGGAGAGUCGGGAAGAGGUGAGAGAGUGCGUCCCCAGAACCCCACCACAAGAAAAUUUAAAAUCCUC
rnacentral:lncRNA from 1 species